AACAGGAUUAGAUACCCUGGUAGUCCACGCCCUAAACGAUGUCUACUAGUUGUCGGGUUUUAAUUAACUUGGUAACGCAGCUAACGCGUGAAGUAGACCGCCUGGGGAGUACGGUCGCAAGAUUAAAACUCAAAGGAAUUGACGGGGACCCGCACAAGCGGUGGAUGAUGUGGAUUAAUUCGAUGCAACGCGAAAAACCUUACCUACCCUUGACAUGUACGGAAGACCGAAGAGAUUUGGUUGUGCUCGAAAGAGAACCGUAACACAGGUGCUGCAUGGCUGUCGUCAGCUCGUGUCGUGAGAUGUUGGGUUAAGUCCCGCAACGAGCGCAACCCUUGUCAUUAGUUGCUACAUUUAGUUGAGCACUCUAAUGAGACUGCCGGUGACAAACCGGAGGAAGGUGGGGAUGACGUCAAGUCCUCAUGGCCCUUAUGGGUAGGGCUUCACACGUCAUACAAUGGUACAUACAGAGGGCCGCCAACCCGCGAGGGGGAGCUAAUCCCAGAAAGUGUAUCGUAGUCCGGAUCGCA
rnacentral:rRNA from 1 species